rnacentral:rRNA from 1 species
UACGUAGGGUGCAAGCGUUGUCCGGAAUUAUUGGGCGUAAAGAGCUCGUAGGCGGUUUGUCGCGUCGACUGUGAAAACCCGGGGCUCAACUCCGGGCCUGCAGUCGAUACGGGCUGGCUUGAGUGCGGUAGGGGAGACUGGAAUUCCUGGUGUAGCGGUGAAAUGCGCAGAUAUCAGGAGGAACACCGGUGGCGAAGGCGGGUCUCUGGGCCGUAACUGACGCUGAGGAGCGAAAGCGUGGGGAGCGAACAGG